GAUGAACGCUGACAGCGUGCUUAACACAUCAGCAAUGGAUUGGUGGCGGACGAGUGAGUAACGAGUCACGAACUUGCCUCCGAGGUAUGGACAACAUUUGGAAACGAAUGCUAAUACCUAAUACUGUGAGAGAGCUGUGGGUCCCAUUAGCUAGUUGGACAGGUAACGGCUUACCAAGGCGAUGAUGGGUAGCCGCCCGGAGAGCGUGAUCGGCCACAAGGGGCAUGAGACACGGCACGUAGUCCUACGGGGGGCAGCAGUGGGGAAUUGUCGACAAUGGACCAAAGUCUGAUCCAGCAAUUCGGUGUUCAAGAUGUAGUUUUCGGAAUGUAAAAGGCUGUCAGUUAGGAAGCGGUACCAACAGAAGAAGUUACGGCUAAAUACGUGCCAGCAGCCGCGGUAAUUC
rnacentral:rRNA from 1 species